rnacentral:rRNA from 1 species
CCUACGGGUGGUAGCAGUGAGGAAUAUUGGUCAAUGGGCGGGAGCCUGAACCAGCCAAGUCGCGUGAGGGAAGACGGUCCUACGGAUUGUAAACCUCUUUUGCCGGGGAGCAACGGGGUCCUUGCGAGGGCCCGAUGAGAGUACCCGGAGAAAAAGCAUCGGCUAACUCCGUGCCAGCAGCCGCGGUAAUACGGAGGAUGCGAGCGUUAUCCGGAUUUAUUGGGUUUAAAGGGUGCGUAGGCGGCCUUUUAAGUCAGCGGUGAAAGUCUGUGGCUCAACCAUAGAAUUGCCGUUGAAACUGGGGGGCUUGAGUAUGUUUGAGGCAGGCGGAAUGCGUGGUGUAGCGGUGAAAUGCUUAGAUAUCACGCAGAACCCCGAUUGCGAAGGCAGCCUGCCAAGCCAUGACUGACGCUGAUGCACGAAAGCGUGGGGAUCAAACAGGAUUAGAUACCCGGGUAGUC